rnacentral:rRNA from 1 species
UAGAGUUUGAUCCUGGCUCAGAUUGAACGCUGGCGGUAUGCUUAACACAUGCUAUUCUAACGGAAACGAUACUAGCUUGCUAGUAGGCGUCGAGUGGCGGGCGGGUGAGUAACNCNUAAAAAUCUGCCUGAUAGUGGGGGAUAGCCCGAAGAAAUUCGGAUUAAUACCGCAUAAUAAAAAACGUAGUAAAGUGGGGGACUUUCGAGCCUCACGCUAUCAGAUGAGCCUGCGUAAGAUUAGCUUGUUGGUGGGGUAAAAGCCCACCAAGGCGACGAUCUUUAGCUGGUCUGAGAGGAUGAUCAGCCACAUCGGGACUGAGACACGGCCCGAACUCCUACGGGAGGCAGCAGUGGGGAAUAUUGGACAA